rnacentral:rRNA from 1 species
GACGAACGCUGGCGGCGUGCUUAACACAUGCAAGUCGAACGCUGAAGCUCAGCUUGCUGGGUGGAUGAGUGGCGAACGGGUGAGUAACACGUGAGUAACCUGCCCUCUUCUUUGGGAUAACGCCCGGAAACGGGUGCUAAUACUGGAUAUUCACUGAUUCUCGCAUGGGGGUUGGUGGAAAGUUUUUUCCUGGUGGGGGGUGGGCUCGCGGCCUAUCAGCUUGUUGGUGGGGUGAUGGCCUACCAAGGCUUUGACGGGUAGCCGGCCUGAGAGGGUGACCGGGCACAUUGGGACUGAGAUACGGCCCAGACUCCUACGGGAGGCAGCAGUGGGGAAGAUUGCACAAUGGGCGAAAGCCUGAUGCAGCGGCGCCGCGUGAGGGAUGGAGGCCUGCGGGUUGUUAACCUCUUUCGCUCAUGGUCGAGCCGCAGCUUUGGGUUGUGGUGAGGGUAGUGGGUAAAGAAGCGCCGGCUAACUACGUG